CCUGAUCUGUUCAGCUCGGGGCCGCCUGGAGGCUGGGGUGUUCUUGCUGUCCUGUGCCCUCCUGGCUUCUGCCUGUUCCAGGGGGAGCGCCGGAUAUUGGGCUGUUUCCGGCACCCUGUGCCCCCGGGCCUGCACUGUUGGAAUC